rfam:Gossypium hirsutum cultivar TM-1 chromosome 14, whole genome shotgun sequence
CACGUAAGCGCGAGAUGCUUACGUGGAUGGAAAUCGCUCCCUCAAGGACACAAUUUCCUUCCACGUAAGCAUCUCGCGCUUACGUGG